AACACCGGUGGAAAAACCAUUUCUUUUAGUGGAUUCGAAGAAUUGUUCACAAAUCCUUGCGUUUUGCUUCAUGGUAUAAAUUAUCAAACAAUAACUGCCGAAAUGGGUCAAAGAUUGAACCUUAAUAAGAAAACAAUCGCCUAAACAAAAAGAUAAGCAGCUCCCCAACGUCUCAGUUGAAACGAAGCUUUGACCGGUAAAUAUAAAUGGCUGAAUCAUUCCAACCUCAAGACUCUCAACAUCUCAGCAACGCCUGAGCCGUUACUGACACUGACUCUGCCAACUUGCCGCGUUACAUCGCUCUACUUUUAAUGGGCGUAGCCCAACAAAAGGAACCCUAAGCACCACUUUUACUAUAUUUUUUCGCAUUCUCUUCCAUACCCCCAUCACAGCCCCAGUAGGGUCCAGUCUCGGGUCCCCUAAAACCGAUCGUUGUUUUUCCCACCUUCUCUCUUUGCUUUUAAAGUAUCAGCAAUAUUCCCAAUCUCAAAAAAUGGAGUCUCCCCAACCUCAACAGCAACAGCAACAAGGCCCCAGGAAGAGAGGCCGAAAACCAAAGUCAAAGGACGAGAAGGAACAGCAACAGCAGCAACAACAACAACAAAGCGCUGGUAAAAUGAAAGAAGGAAAGAAAGCCCAACAACCAAGCGUUGAUGAAAUGUACACUCAAUGGAAGUCUUUGGUCCCUGUUCUCUAUGACUGGCUUGCUAAUCACAAUCUCGUUUGGCCUUCUCUCUCUUGCCGCUGGGGACCACAGCUUGAGCAAGCUACUUACAAGAAUCGCCAGCGUCUCUACCUCUCUGAACAGACUGAUGGUAGCGUUCCCAAUACUCUUGUGAUUGCAAAUUGUGAAGUUGUCAAACCUAGGGUUGCUGCUGCUGAGCACAUAUCUCAGUUUAAUGAAGAAGCACGCUCUCCCUUUGUAAAGAAGUAUAAGACCAUCAUACAUCCUGGAGAGGUGAACAGAAUCAGGGAACUUCCACAGAACUCUAAGAUUGUGGCCACACACACUGAUAGUCCAGAUGUUCUUAUUUGGGAUGUUGAAGCUCAACCCAACCGUCAUGCUGUUCUCGGAGCAACAUAUUCUCGCCCAGAUCUGAUUUUGACUGGACAUCAAGAUAACGCAGAAUUUGCUCUUGCAGUGUGCCUCACUGAACCCUAUGUGCUCUCUGGAGGGAAGGACAAAUCAGUUGUUUUGUGGAGCAUCCAGGACCACAUAACAACGACAGCUACAGACCCUACCAAAUCUCCAGGAUCUGGUGGAUCGAUCAUCAAACAGAACAAGCCUGGGGAAGGUAAUGAUAAAGCUACUGAUGGUCCUUCUGUAGGUCCUCGUGGUAUCUUCUGUGGGCAUGAGGAUACAGUUGAAGAUGUCGCGUUCUGUCCAUCCAGUGCGCAGGAGUUUUGUAGUGUAGGUGAUGAUUCCUGCCUCAUACUAUGGGAUGCACGAGUUGGCAGUAGCCCCUCUUUCAAGGUUGAAAAGGCACAUAAUGCCGAUCUUCAUUGUGUUGAUUGGAACCCCCACGAUGAUAAUCUUAUCCUGACCGGGUCUGCAGAUAAUACUGUUCGUAUGUUUGAUAGAAGAAAUCUCACUUCUAAUGGAGUUGGAUCACCCAUUUAUAAGUUUGAGGGUCAUAGAGCUGCCGUUCUAUGUGUGCAGUGGUCUCCAGACAAGUCAUCUGUAUUUGGUAGUUCAGCUGAGGACGGGCUCUUAAACAUUUGGGAUUAUGACAAGGUUGGCAAAAAGGUGGAACGUCCUUCAAGAUCUCCUAGUUCUCCUGCAGGACUGUUUUUCCAACAUGCUGGGCACAGGGACAAAGUUGUUGACUUCCAUUGGAAUACAUCAGAUCCAUGGACUGUUGUUAGUGUGUCUGAUGACUGUGAGACCACUGGCGGAGGAGGGACAUUACAGAUAUGGCGCAUGAGCGAUCUCAUCUACAGGCCAGAGGAGGAGGUUUUGGCAGAGCUUGAGAAAUUCAAGUCCCACAUCAUUUCAUGCGCGUCAAAGCCAUGAGAGACAGGAUUGUAAGGAGGCCAGAAUAUUACCUGAUUGACUUGUAACAAAUCGAUGUAGGAGCUCAUCAUGUAGACUAGAUGUUUGCUCGCAAUUGUAGAUUUUCUGAUAUCGAGGCAUUCAGACAGAUUUUUUAAACAUUUAUAUUGUGAGUGUUACACUGAUUAUGAGCAUGUUGAAGACUGUCAUAUAUUCACACAUGGCUUCAACGGGGUACACAUGAUGAUCAAUGAACUGUUAAACAAUGAGCCAUUAAAUUCUACCAUAGGAUCCAAGGGAUUGUGAUUGAAACUUGAAAUAUUGAAUGAAGGGAUUCUUCCAGGUUCUUGCAACUGUCAAAUGUAGUUAAACUUGGUUGUUGGAAACAUUGUGUUUUUAACUUCGGAGUUAUAUCCCAUUAUGUUGUUGCCGGUUGUGGUUUGAAUGUUGAAGAGGUCAGCUGAUUUGAAACAAUGUACUUAUAUUAUCCCUGGAUUGACGGAGGGUUUCAAGACCUUUAAUUGAAACAUUGUUAUUGGUCAUUGGGUAUGACACAACAUCCGAGCCGGUCGCAAGAAUGGUAUCGCUCUAGACAAAUUAUGUAAAACUACGUAGUAGUAUUAAAAUAAGGACAGCAGAGAACGAGGUGGUCGGUUGACUAGAGGUAUCCGAAUGGACGACCAAGUUGUAAGUCGCUGUGAUCUGGUGUUCAUUUGACACCUUCAAAUAGAUAGUAACAGGGUUAUUUAAUCUUGAUUUCUUCUCUGUAUCGACACGUUGAAGUUUGCAUAAAGAUGAUGGAGAGUAAUAGCAACAGCAGAGGCAUGUUAUCAUGGCUGGCCCUUCUUUUCUUUCUAAUAACAGUAUCAAAGACGCUUGUGCCUGGGUCCUAUUCCGUCUCUCUCCGUGCCCUUGCUCCUGGCGAUUUUUACACUGUAAUUCCCCUUCGUUUCUCUCUUUCUUUCGUUGUUCGUUUCCUUUUGGGAAUAUUGUGUCGUCGUCAAUUAACUUUUAUGCCUACAGGGAGAUCUUCAAGUCCAGGUUUCCAAUCUUACUUCUCCGAAGACACAGCUUUCCUAUAACUUCUAUUCCCUUGGUUAUUGUAAGCCUUCCAAAAUUAUAAACACUGUAAGACCUUGAAAGAAUUUCUUCAAGGCGAAGGUUUUCAGAAUUCUAUUUAUACUUUUGAUAUGAGAAAAGAUGAGUCAUGCAAAGUAGCCUGCCGGGUCAAACUUGAUGCUGAAGCUGCCAAGAAUUUCAAGGAGAAAAUUCAUGAUAACCAUCGAGUUAAUGUGAUUUUGGACAAUCUUCCAACACCGGAAGGAGGAAGGAUUUCAUUUAGGGUUUAAGAGAACAUACUAUCCUAGCGGAGAGGAGGUAUAUUUCAUCCAUAACCAUCUAUGCUUCAGAGUCAUAUACCAUCGGAAUCCUCAGAUUGAUUCUGCUCAAAUUGUUGGCUUUGAGGUUGAUCCCUACAGGUGCAGAAACCUGAUUCUCUCAUGUUUCAAUUGCCCUUCUUAAAUUGUUUUCAUUUGUUGCUUUUUUGGGUUUUCAACUUAAGUGGUUCUAGCAUUCAAUGUGGUUGCUUAUGUUUUAAAUAAUUGAACUGCCUAACAAUCAAUACCUUCAUUUCCAAGUUUUCAAAUUAAAGGAAAAUUUCUGCAGUCUUAUGUUUUGUGUCUGCGAACCAUGAGCAACCUGAAACCAUGUCAUAUGAAUGCUUUAUUUGUAUUAUAUAUCUGCAAAUCAUUCUCUUCUUUCAUUUGGCUUUGCUAAUUUUAGUGACCAAUCUACUUGUUACCACUUUCUUGUCUUCUUAAAACCAACAAAAAAAAAAACCCAGUAACAAUCAUGAGUACGAGUGUCCUUGGAACGAGAAAAACCCUUAGUUGUUAACGUGCAAGGUCAAUCAAGCUUUCAUUAUUCCUCUACGUAUUGAAACUGAUGCAGAAGUUGUUUUCAUUA